rnacentral:lncRNA from 1 species
AUGAAGGUAGCUAAUGUUGCUGUUAGCUUCUUUCUAGCUUGUUCGUCUGCUAAAUGCUUCAUUCGCGUGAGGGGCUUUCUAAGCAACUGUGAGCAGCCCCUUCCCAAAGCAGGAGACUUCAGCAGACCUGAGAGGGAGCAGAUUCAAGGAACCAGCAGGUUGCAUGAAGACGACGAGAGAAAACAGCACAGAGUAAAUCCUGCUGCAAGAUGCAGGGACAUCCCUGACUCGGUGACUCAUUUUCCACUCCAGCGUGCCUGACGAGGCAGCGAUGUCCAUAUCUCAUCCAUGGCAUGUCUCCCUGCAGCCGGCGCCCCGCCAGCUAUCGACCGGACCUCACUCCUGCUUUUUGGGUCACAAGCUGUGACAGGAAAGCGGAUCAUGCCCUGAAUCCAGCAGCGCACGCAUCCAUACAGGGGUUCCAGAAGGCAGAGGUCUCGCUGACCACCGGCUCUGCUGCUUUCUUCUCACAGCACUAUCUGUCCCCGGCCGGAGAGCGAGAGCCACAGACAGGAUGAAAGCGGAGAAAAGAGACGUAUAGAUUAAAAGGAGGGAGAUUAAAAAACAGAGGGCACAUGGAGAGAGAGAGAGAGGAAGAAGAGGUAGGUAAUCAACUUAAAGGUCUGAAGGUCUCAGCCGGACUCCCUCACUGGCCCGCAGCAUAGAUGAAUGCGAGGGUUCGGUCCAGC